UACAGGGGGUGCAAACGUUGCUCGGAAUUAUUGGGCGUAAAGCGCGCGUAGGCGGCCACUUAAGUCGGAUGUGAAAGCCCCUGGCUCAACUGGGGAAGUGCACCCGAAACUGAAUGGCUUGAGUGCGAAAGAGGGUCGCGGAAUUCCCGGUGUAGAGGUGAAAUUCGUAGAUAUCGGGAGGAACACCAGUGGCGAAGGCGGCGACCUGGGCCAAUACUGACGCUGAGGUGCGAAAGCGUGGGGAGCAAACAGG
rnacentral:rRNA from 1 species